rnacentral:rRNA from 1 species
UCCAGACUCCUACGGGAGGCAGCAGUGGGGAAUAUUGGGCAAUGGGCGCAAGCCUGACCCAGCAACGCCGCGUGAAGGAAGAAGGCUUUCGGGUUGUAAACUUCUUUUGUCAGGGAAGAGUAGAAGACGGUACCUGACGAAUAAGCCACGGCUAACUACGUGCCAGCAGCCGCGGUAAUACGUAGGUGGCAAGCGUUGUCCGGAUUUACCGGGUGUAAAGGGCGUGCAGCCGGGCCGACAAGUCAGAUGUGAAAUCCGCGGGCUUAACCCGCGAACUGCAUUUGAAACUAUUGGUCUUGAGUACCGGAGAGGUCAUCGGAAUUCCUUGUGUAGCGGUGAAAUGCGUAGAUAUAAGGAAGAACACCAGUGGCGAAGGCGGAUGACUGGACGGCAACUGACGGUGAGGCGCGAAAGCGUGGGGAGCAAGCAGGAUUAGAUACCCGUGUAGC